rnacentral:misc_RNA from 1 species
AAAUCAAUACCCAUUCCCUCACCAGUGCUCCUCAUUUCAGGCCCUAGCAACACAUCACAGCCUGGAAAUCUCCCAAACGGAAUAACUACUUCCUUCACAGCCACAUGUGUUGGGAUCACCUCCUUUGGGAAGCCUACUUCAUUAAGUGACAUUCCGGACAUAACAAGAGCAGCAUAUUUAGCCAAGGGAUGGCCAAUUGCCUUGGAAACAAAUGGCACAGUUCGAGAAGCACGAGGAUUUGCCUCAAGCAGAAAAACCUCCCCAGAUGCUGUGAUAGCAUACUGGCAGUUCAUGAGACCACAAACGUUAAGACUCUUUGCCAAUUUUGUAGUCCAUGACCUAAUUGUGGCCAAGCAAGAAGAUGAAACAGUUUGUGUGGGAAGAAUGCAAGCUGAGUCACCAGAAUGUACACCAGCCUGCUCAAUAUGCUCCAUUAUGCCACCAAUAAUCACAUUACCAUAUGAAUCUGCAAGUGCAUCUAUAUCAAUCUCGACAGCAUCAGAUAAAUAUUUAUCAAUUAAUACAGGCCGUUCUGGGUCCACCUCAACAGCAUUUUCAAGAUAUGUCACUAGCUUGUCAUCACUAUAUACAAUCUCCAUGGCCCGCCCGCCCAACACAUAAGAAGGACGAACAACAACAGGGUAACCUAUGUCUGCUGCAAUGGCAAGUGCAUCAGCUUCACUCUUAGCAAUGCCUCCUUUUGGCUGCUUAAUCUUCAAUUCUUUAAUAAUUGCAUUAAACUUCUCUCUGUCCUCGGCAAUAUCAAUGGAAUCUGGUGAUGUGCCCCAGAUGCCCACACUACCAGCCCCACUGGCAGAAAUAGGCUUAUGCUCUUCUAAGUACUGCUGGAUGGGUAGAGCCAGCUUCAGGGGUGUUUGACCUCCAAACUGUACAAUAAUGCCAUCAGGCUUUUCCAGAUCAAUUACAUUCAGAACAUCUUCAACUGUCAAGGGUUCAAAGUAGAGACGGUCACUUGUAUCAUAAUCAGUGGAUACUGUUUCAGGAUUUGAAUUCAUCAUAAUCGUUUCGUAUCCUGCACUCUGGAGAGCAAAAGAGGUGUGGCAACAACAGUAAUCAAACUCAAUCCCCUGCCCAAUUCGAUUGGGUCCUCCACCUAAAAUCAAAACCUUCUUUGUUUUGGUGGGAGCUGAUUCACACUCAAUAUCAUAGGAGGAGUACAUAUAAGGAGUAUUGGCCUCAAACUCAGCAGCACAGGUGUCUACCAGCUUAUAUGCUGGAACAACUCCAAAAGAUAUCCGUUUUGACCGAACGUCCUUCUCUGUUGAUUUAGUAGCAAAUGCUAUCUGCUUAUCACUGAAACCAC